UUCCGAUUCUGUAGUCUGAUGUAAUAGAAUAAGUGAUUGUACAUGAACUAACCGGCAUUUUUCGCUUCUGUAAACCUGCUUGCUUAACACAUCCCUCCCCUA